UACGGAGGGGGCUAGCGUUGUUCGGAAUUACUGGGCGUAAAGCGCACGUAGGCGGCUUCGCAAGUCAGAGGUGAAAGCCCGGGGCUCAACCCCGGAACUGCCUUUGAGACUGCUCCGCUCGAAUCCGGGAGAGGCGGGUGGAACUGCGAGUGUAGAGGUGAAAUUCGUAGAUAUUCGGAAGAACACCAGUGGCGAAGGCGGCCCGCUGGACCGGCUCUGACGCUGAGGUGCGAAAGCGUGGGGAGCAAACAGG
rnacentral:rRNA from 1 species